UUGCUCCUUUCUUCCUGUCUCCUUCUAGGGAUGUCCAUUUGGGAGGAAGUCUAUGCUGCUAUCACUGCAAAGGGAUACACUGAGCAUUUCCUCUGUUGAAUCGGAUCCCCUGCCUAGGCAAUGGUGUCACCCAUGGAGGCAGAUCCUUCCACCUCAGUCAAGAUAUAUCUUAUCUUGAUUAUAUAUGUAAUCAAGAUAAGCCAUCGAAGGCAUGACCAGAGGCCCACCUCCCAGGUGGCAGCCCAGCCAAAUGUGGCAGGGCAAGUGGGCACCAAGAAUACCCAUGGGUGCCCUUGGGUGAAGGCCUGAACCCUCACAGAAGCACAGCAGGUGGGAGUGGCCUGUCUAGAACUGGCAGGAGGCAAAGCCAAUGGGACAACCUUCUGAACUGAGCUGAGAGGGUGGAGCUGGCCACUACAGAUACAUGCUAGUCCGAGGAGCCUGGAAAUGUGCAGAAGGACAGAGGAGCACUUACCCUGAGCUGCAAUAGGAUUGAAAAGCCACAGACAUCUGAGCAGAGAGAGAGAAAGAUUUGUAUAUUACAGACUAUACAGCCUUGGUGAGUCUCAUCAUCAGACAUGCUGAACUGACCUGCUUGAUCUCCUGAUGUCUUGGACUUUCAGCCGGAUCCAGUCAGGACACAGACAUCAGAGACUGUAACAAUCAUUGGGGUGGCCUUCUUAAGGCCAACCAACUCCCUCAUUUUUUUCUACCCUUCCUCCCCUUCAAAGAUAUCUCAACGCCCAUAUUCAGCUUGAAGAAGUUAUGAAGAGUUAUCAUUCCAGUUCCCUGGGCUUUGGGGCUGGAAGUUGUUAUUCUAAGGUUGCCUUUCUGGGGAACAUAGAAAUGGUCAUAAUUGAAACAGGGAGAAUUUAUUAUUAGCUAGAAUUUAUUAUGUAGCCAUGAUCUCAUUUGGUAGAAAUCUUUACAAUAGUUACUAAGUUGAGUCAUGAUUUCUUAUUUUGGUACAGGAUUAAUUUUGAUGCAGAAUCAAGUUUUCAUAGAUAUAAAUUUCUUCUAUUGAUACAAAAAUUCUAAAACUGUAAGGCUUGGACCCAGUCCUUCUAUAACUGUUAUAAUAAACUAAUCUGAGAUGUUUAAGCCUGUGAGUUAAGGGCCAAAUAGCAAAUUCAUGGCUCUGAGUUUAUUGUUAGGGUGUUUUCAGAUAUUUUAAUUAAAAAUAGCUGGGGGUAGUUAAUGGACAACAGUCCACAUUACUUUGCAUAGAUAGAUGGUUUUCAAAAAUGCACAGCAUGUGACAUUUAAUGUUAUUUAUUCACUUGCUGUUGAGACAAAUCUGCUCCUAAUGUUCCCCAUUUGUAAAUUCGAAGAAGCAGCUGAGCAUCUAUACCUCCAGGUGUGGCUGGGUAGCCACUGGGCAGACAUUGACUAUCCCUCCUGCAGGCCUAUACUGAACUUGAGAGGACACAAGUUGCAGGUUAGGACAGCUUAGUUCUGCCGAGACAGAAUAAGCUAGUCCUUAACAAUUCCUGUUUUUCAAGGUCUAUCAGAAUAUCCUGGGCCAGAAGGCUGAAGACUGAUUCUCCAAUUUCCUGACAUACUGGAGCUGUAUAGGGGUUUUUGACAAUGAGACAUGUCAGCUCCUGGAGCACCCCAUUUCUACUUCAAAGAAGAUGAUGGGCAUUGAAGAACUUUCAUUUGGAGUUUACUUCAAAUGUGACAAGCUGCCAUUGGGCAAAAACUGCUUUUGCUCAGACUGAAGGCAGAAAGCUGUCUGAAAUGGCCAAACUUGCAUGCAGGAAAGCCGAUUGCCAAGCUCUGCCAAGGCAGAGUACACAGCCCUUCAUAUUCCUGCUUCACAAAUAUACCUGUCAUAUGUGUGCCAGGAGGCUGAGGAUGGAUGCUCCAGUGUUAUAGAGAAAUUUUGGGUAGCUGUCCUGGCAGCCAGCUGUCUCUGUUUUGGAGGCUGCUUACUCUGUAGUUCCUGCAUACUCAGUUUUAGAGAAUACAACCAUGGCGCCUGAUACUGUCCUUGAGGAAUUGUUGGGAGCUAUUAAGACAACACUAUUGUCCUGAUCUCUGAAUUGGGCCUCUCACCCCCGAGAAGAAAAGGGGGUCAAAAGCGGGCCACCUACACACCGUUCCGAGAACAACCACAGAAUGUUCCAGCCCUAAGUCAGCGCCAGAUGUCCUGACCACACCCUGAUACCACCAAGUUCCUGCUUCCCUGUGUAGCUGCCAAAAGAAAAAUUUCUAUUGCCCCACCCCUCCCGCUGAUAAGUACUUCCCCUUUUGCUUGUGCAAUUCUAUUGCCCCACCCCUCCUGCUGAAAGGCACUUCCCCUUUUGCUUGUGCAUUUAAGCCUUGGGCCUUGCUCAAUACAUUGGGACCUUGAUGCCACUCAGAAUGCUUCCGUGUGUUGUUCUUGCACUUGGUCCUCGUCUCUCUCUAACCCCCCCCCCCCCAUUUGGUUCUUAGGAGAAGGUCCCCUCGAGACCCUCGAAUAACUGGUCCUGCUGGAUGGGUCAAGUGGCGCCCAACGUAGGGCACAAGGUACUACCACCCUCCGGACAACGGAUUCGAGAGGUACUGCGCAGACAGUGAGACAGUUCCCUGCCACUUCGUUCGAGUGUCGCAGACGUUGAGAGGAGAUGUCCAUGGCUGGUAUUGAAUGGUCCUGAAAUACACCCUUUAACUUGGAAUAAAGUAGGCAAAGACAUCAAUGCUUUG